rnacentral:rRNA from 1 species
UACGGAGGGUGCAAGCGUUAUCCGGAAUCACUGGGUUUAAAGGGUGCGUAGGCGGCCUGGUAAGUCAGGGGUGAAAGCUUCCCGCUCAACGGGAGAACUGCCUUUGAUACUGCCAGGCUCGAAUUGGGUUGAGGCCGGCGGAAUGUGGCAUGUAGCGGUGAAAUGCUUAGAUAUGCCAUAGAACACCGAUUGCGAAGGCAGCCGGCCAAGCCUUGAUUGACGCUGAGGCACGAAAGCGUGGGGAGCGAACAGG